GACGAACGCUGGCGGCGUGCUUAACACAUGCAAGUCGAACGGAAAGGCCCUGCUUUUGUGGGGUGCUCGAGUGGCGAACGGGUGAGUAACACGUGAGUAACCUGCCCUUGACUUUGGGAUAACUUCAGGAAACUGGGGCUAAUACCGGAUAGGAGCUCCUGCUGCAUGGUGGGGGUUGGAAAGUUUCGGCGGUUGGGGAUGGACUCGCGGCUUAUCAGCUUGUUGGUGGGGUAGUGGCUUACCAAGGCUUUGACGGGUAGCCGGCCUGAGAGGGUGACCGGCCACAUUGGGACUGAGAUACGGCCCAGACUCCUACGGGAGGCAGCAGUGGGGAAUAUUGCACAAUGGGCGGAAGCCUGAUGCAGCAACGCCGCGUGCGGGGUGACGGCCUUCGGGUUGUAAACCGCUUUCGCCUGUGACGAAGCGUGAGUGACGGUAAUGGGUAAAGAAGCACCGGCUAACUACGUGCCAGCAGCCGCGGUGAUACGUAGGGUGCGAGCGUUGUCCGGAUUUAUUGGGCGUAAAGGGCUCGUAGGUGGUUGAUCGCGUCGGAAGUGUAAUCUUGGGGCUUAACCCUGAGCGUGCUUUCGAUACGGGUUGACUUGAGGAAGGUAGGGGAGAAUGGGAUUCCUGGUGGAGCGGUGGAAUGCGCAGAUAUCAGGAGGAACACCAGUGGCGAAGGCGGUUCUCUGGGCCUUUCCUGACGCUGAGGAGCGAAAGCGUGGGGAGCGAACAGGCUUAGAUACCCUGGUAGUCCACGCUGUAAACGGUGGGUACUAGGUGUGGGGUCCAUUCCACGGGUUCCGUGCCGUAGCUAACGCUUUAAGUACCCCGCCUGGGGAGUACGGCCGCAAGGCUAAAACUCAAAGGAAUUGACGGGGCCCCGCACAAGCGGCGGAGCAUGCGGAUUAAUUCGAUGCAACGCGUAGAACCUUACCUGGGUUUGACAUGGAUCGGGAGCGCUCAGAGAUGGGUGUGCCUCUUUUGGGGUCGGUUCACAGGUGGUGCAUGGCUGUCGUCAGCUCGUGUCGUGAGAUGUUGGGUUAAGUCCCGCAACGAGCGCAACCCUUGUUCACUGUUGCCAGCACGUUAUGGUGGGGACUCAGUGGAAACCGCCGGGGUCAACUCGGAGGAAGGUGGGGAUGACGUCAAGUCAUCAUGCCCCUUAUGUCCAGGGCUUCACGCAUGCUACAAUGGCUGGUACAGAGAGUGGCGAGCCUGUGAGGGUGAGCGAAUCUCGGAAAGCCGGUCUCAGUUCGGAUUGGGGUCUGCAACUCGACCUCAUGAAGUCGGAGUCGCUAGUAAUCGCAGAUCAGCAACGCUGCGGUGAAUACGUUCCCGGGGCU
rnacentral:rRNA from 1 species